ACGUGAGUUAUGUUAUUUGUGCAAGUUUCGGAGUGCCUCUUGUGGAAGACUGUGCGAAGCAGGUUAAUUUUGCAUCGGCAAUCAUUCUUUUCUCCGCCAUCUUGAAGACGACGCGAACGCCUCUACAGGAACGUCACCUCACAGGGCUCAACGUCGUACGUUUCCAUUGCUAAAAUCUAGAAGUUCAGUUGCGCAAGAAAAAGGAGCCAGGAACGACGCAGACAGACUCAGAUCCCUAUACUGAGACGGGGGAAAAAUGAUUACAAGGAGUUCCAAGUUGGAAGAUAAACUAUGUUAUCCUUGCUGGCGGUGGUCCUUUGGGACGAAACGAACCCUGUGUUAAUAGAAUUGGACAUCGACAAGAGCAAUCUUCAAUAAUCUUCUUUCUGUGCUUGGAGUGGAUGCAGGAGGAAACAUGGCUCAACGAAAAAUGGGAAACUCGUGUGUGCACAUUGAAUAUCCACCAUAAAAUUUUACAUAUAUGUGCGUUGGAACCGAAUCGCAUAUUUCGAAUCAAAUGCGUGGAAUAAACAUGUGCGGUAUUAUGUA